AUUGAACGCUGGCGGCAGGCCUAACACAUGCAAGUCGAACGAGUGGCGGACGGGUGAGUAAUGUCUGGGAAACUGCCCGAUGGCGGGGGAUAACUACUGGAAACGGUAGCUAAUACCGCAUACCAUCGGAUGUGCCCAGAUGGGAUUAGCUAGUAGGUGGGGUAACGGCUCACCUAGGCGACGAUCCCUAGCUGGUCUGAGAGGAUGACCAGCCACACUGGAACUGAGACACGGUCCAGACUCCUACGGGAGGCAGCAGGGGGGAAUAUGGCACAAUGGGCGAAAGCCUGAUGCAGCCAUGCUGCGUGUAUGAAGAAGGCUUUCGGGUUGUAAAGUACUGUCAGCGUAGAGGCGUUACUUGCAGAAGUAGCACCUGCUAACUCCGUGCCAGCAGCCGCGGUAAUUC
rnacentral:rRNA from 1 species